rnacentral:sRNA from 1 species
GCUGGGUGUGGUGGCGUGCCCCUGUAGUCCCAGCUACCUGGGAGGCUGAGGUGGGAGAAUUGCUUGAACCCAGGAGGUAGAGGUUGCAGUGAGCUGAGAUCACGCCAUUGCACUCCAGCCUGGGUGACAGAGCAAGACCCUAUCUCAA